UACCAGCUCUUCGAGUGGUGUGGAUGUUUAUUGGGCCUAAAGCAUCCGUAGCUGGCUGGGCAAGUCCCCUGUUAAAUCCACCGAUUUAAUCGUUGGAGUGCGGGGGAUACUGUUCGGCUAGGGGACGGGAGAGGCAGACGGUAUUUUCGGGGUAGGGGUGAAAUCCUAUAAUCCCGGGAAGACCACCAGUGGCGAAGGCUGUCGGCUAGAACGCGCCCGACGGUGAGGGAUGAAAGCUGGGGGAGCGAACCAGAUUAGAUACCCGGGUAGUCCCAGCUGUAAACGAUGCAGGCUAGGUGUUUGGGCGGCCACGUGCCGCUCUAGUGCCGCAGAGAAGUCGUUAAGCCUGCCGUCGUGGGGAGUACGGCCGCAAGGCUAGAAACUUAAGGAAUUGGGCGGGGAGUACCGACAAGGGGUGAAGCUUGACGGUUU
rnacentral:rRNA from 1 species